UACAGAGGGUGCAAGCGUUGUUCGGAAUUAUUGGGCGUAAAGCGCGUGUAGGCGGCUUUGCAAGUCGGGUGUGAAAGCCCUCAGCUCAACUGAGGAAGUGCGCCCGAAACUGCAGAGCUUGAGUACCGGAGAGGAUGGCGGAAUUCCCGAAGUAGAGGUGAAAUUCGUAGAUAUCGGGAGGAACACCGGUGGCGAAGGCGGCCAUCUGGACGGAUACUGACGCUGAGACGCGAAAGCGUGGGGAGCGAACAGG
rnacentral:rRNA from 1 species